rnacentral:rRNA from 1 species
AUUGAACGCUGGCGGCAUGCCUUACACAUGCAAGUCGAACGGUAACGGGCCUUCGGGUGCCGACGAGUGGCGAACGGGUGAGUAAUACAUCGGAACGUGCCCGAUCGUGGGGGAUAACGAGGCGAUAGCUUUGCUAAUACCGCAUACGAUCUACGGAUGAAAGCAGGGGACCGCAAGGCCUUGCGCGGACGGAGCGGCCGAUGGCAGAUUAGGUAGUUGGUGGGAUAAAAGCUUACCAAGCCGACGAUCUGUAGCUGGUCUGAGAGGAUGAUCAGCCACACUGGGACUGAGACACGGCCCAGACUCCUACGGGAGGCAGCAGUGGGGAAUUUUGGACAAUGGGCGCAAGCCUGAUCCAGCCAUGCCGCGUGCAGGAUGAAGGCCUUCGGGUUGUAAACUGCUUUUGUACGGAACGAAAAGCCUUCUUUUAAUACAGGAGGGUCAUGACGGUACCGUAAGAAUAAGCACCGGCUAACUACGUG